rnacentral:rRNA from 1 species
UACGUAGGGGACGAGCGUUGUCCGGAAUUAUUGGGCGUAAAGCGCGUGUAGGCGGCUUUGCAAGUCGGGUGUGAAAUCCCUCAGCUUAACUGAGGAAGUGCGCCCGAAACUGCAGAGCUUGAGUACCGGAGAGGGUGGCGGAAUUCCCCAAGUAGAGGUGAAAUUCGUAGAUAUGGGGAGGAACACCGGUGGCGAAGGCGGCCACCUGGACGGAUACUGACGCUGAUGCGCGAAAGCGUGGGGAGCAAACAGG